rnacentral:tRNA from 1 species
GCGCUGUUAGCUCAGCUGGAUAGAGUGGCUGGCUUCGAACCAGCAGGUCGGGGGUUCAACUCCCUCACAGCGCACCA